rnacentral:rRNA from 1 species
UAAGAAUAUUCCGCAAUGGACGAAAGUCUGACGGAGCGACGCCGCGUGGAUGAAGAAGGCCGAAAGGUUGUAAAGUUCUUUUGCUAGGGGAGAAUAAGUGAGGGAGGGAAUGCCCUCAUGAUGACAAGGACUAGCGAAUAAGCCCCGGCCAACUACGUGCCAGCAGCCGCGGUAACACGUAGGGGGCGAGCGUUGUUCGGAAUUACUGGGCGUAAAGGGCAUGUAGGCGGCUUGGUAAGCCUGGCGUGAAAGACUGCAGCUUAACUGUAGGGAUGCGUUGGGAACUGCUUAGCUUGAGUUACGGAGAGGGAGCUGGAAUUCCUGGUGUAGGGGUGAAAUCUGUAGAUAUCAGGAAGAACACCGAUGGCGAAGGCAAGCUUCUGGUCGAUAACUGACGCUGAGGUGCGAAAGUGUGGGGAUCAAAC